rnacentral:rRNA from 1 species
UACGUAGGGGGCGAGCGUUGUCCGGAUUUAUUGGGCGUAAAGAGCUCGUAGGCGGUUUGGUAAGUCGGGUGUGAAAUCUCCACGCUCAACGUGGAGGGGCCACUCGAUACUGCCAUGACUCGAGUCCGGUAGAGGAGUGUGGAAUUCCCGGUGUAGAGGUGAAAUUCGUAGAUAUCGGGAGGAACACCAGUGGCGAAGGCGGCUUUCUGGACAUUUACUGACGCUGAGACGGCGAAAAGCG